UGCUUUGAUGCCAAGCCACACCCUAUCUCUGCCUCUCCACUCUGGCCAGAGUGAGCACCCUCCUCCCUCCAAGGAAGGCAGGACAAAAGAGAGAGGAUCAAGGUCAGAACACAGCAGAGAGGGUGGAGGAGGAAGAGGAGGAAGAAGAAGAGGAGGAGAAGGAGGAGGAAGAGGAAGAGGAGGAGGAGGAGAGAAUGUGAGGAUACAGAUGGGGGAAAGAGAGCCAAACAAGAGAGAGGAAAGGCCAGCAUCAUCUGGCUGGACCAUAGAGGUCCCUUGGCUUCCAGCCAGGGACCACUUGCACCCACCUACCCACUUGUGACAGAGGGAAGCCACUGUUUUGAAUAGACAGUAGCAGAGACUGGCUGCAGUGACAACCCUGAAGACCCUAAGUCAGGUCCCACUCAGAUACUGAUCCCCUCAACUGUCUUUUGAGUGCUGGGAAUCAAACCCAAGGAAGACAGAGAGGCAGACAGAGGUGGAACUGGCGAAGGGGAUAAAUAAACAGCAAUGAGAAGUCAAGCGAGAAGAAAGAUGGCUACAGCCAACAGAGAACCAUAACCAACAGAGGAAACGUGCAAAGGCUGGAAGCUUCUGUGCCCUUCUGGGUUUGUCAGGCAGUGAGGCUGAAUGAGAAACAGUCUGAUGAUUCCUCAAACAGCUAAACAGAAAGGGGCAGAAGACACAACAAUCCUAUUCCUCUGUGUAUCCAGAAAAAACUCGUCUCUGGAUGUCCAGAGGCACAUCAUUCCUACAGCCAAAGAGUUCGGGCAACCCAAUGCUCAUCAACUCAUGAGUGAAUAAAUCAAUGCAGCACACCAUGACAGGAUACUAGGCAGCCACAGGAAGAGUGGAGACAGACAGAAAACGUGGACAGACCUUGUAGUGGUUUAAAUAUGCUUGGCCCAUUGAAAGUGGCACUACUAGGAGGUGUGGCCUUGUUGAAAUGGGUGUGGUCUUGCUGGAGGAAGUGUGUCACUGUAUGGGUGGGCUUUGAGGGCUCCUAGGCAUAGGCUCCGCCCACUGUGGAAGAGAGACCCUCCUCCUGGCUGCCUUCAGAAGAUAGGUCUCUUCCUGGCUGCCUUAAGAUCAAGAUGCAGAACUCUCAGCUCCUUCUCCAGCACCAUGUCUGCCUGGAUGCUGCCAUGCUUCCCAACAUGAUGAUAACGGACUGAACCUCUGAACCUGUAAGCCAGUAUCAAUUAAAUGUUGUCCUUAU